CUUGCUCCUUCUGAUCAUGGCGAACGGGUGAGUAACACGUGAGUAACCUGCCCCAAACUCUGGGAUAAGCACUGGAAACGGUGUCUAAUACCGGAUACGAGCUUCAGCCGCAUGGCUAGGAGUUGGAAAGAAUUUCGGUUUGGGAUGGACUCGCGGCCUAUCAGCUAGUUGGUGAGGUAAUGGCUCACCAAGGCGACGACGGGUAGCCGGCCUGAGAGGGUGACCGGCCACACUGGGACUGAGACACGGCCCAGACUCCUACGGGAGGCAGCAGUGGGGAAUAUUGCACAAUGGGCGCAAGCCUGAUGCAGCAACGCCGCGUGAGGGACGACGGCCUUCGGGUUGUAAACCUCUUUUAGUAGGGAAGAAGCGAAAGUGACGGUACCUGCAGAAAAAGCACCGGCUAACUACGUGCCAGCAGCCGCGGUAAUACGUAGGGUGCAAGCGUUGUCCGGAAUUAUUGGGCGUAAAGAGCUCGUAGGCGGUUUGUCGCGUCUGCUGUGAAAACCCGAGGCUCAACCUCGGGCCUGCAGUG
rnacentral:rRNA from 1 species